rnacentral:lncRNA from 10 species
GGGCUAUACAAAGUGGGCAGGAACCUGCAUUAAACUGUACCUCAAUCACUUCUUGCCAAAACAUUUGUAAAAUGCUACAGCCUUCACAGCAGCACUUUGGAUAGAAGUGUCCAGCAUCAAGAGAAACAGACAUAUUGGCAGCCAGUAUUUUACAAAGCACAUUACAGGGAAGCAAAGAUUUAACAACUUGAAAUUAUUCAUACUUAAUGAAUAAAACUGGCAUUUUACAUGUAUGAAGACCAAGAAAACACAGAAGUGACAAAUCCCCACAUAACAAAAACAGAACCAUAUGGAGCUAAAGAAAAGGAUCAGGAGAACUCAGUAUUUUAGUUCAUACUUUUCCUUUUUUUGCCUAUCACUGGCUAAUAUUUUAGAAAUACAAAAUUUUCUAAACAGGAACAGACAUGAUUAAACAUACUGCUUUAUAUGUAAUGUGUGCUACCAGGCAGCUCUUACUACAUUUAUUGUCUUCCUUUCUAUACUUAACAAAUUCAGGUUUCAAAUAAAUUUUACUUAUACACCUGAGGUAAAGUCUUAAAAGAUCUUCCAAGUCAUAUUACACUUAUCUGCAGCGGUGCGACCUUGGCUCAAUGCAACCUCUGCCUACCAGGUGCAAAUGAUUCUCCUGUCUCAGCCUCUGGAGUAACUGGGAUUACAGGCAUGUGCCUCUGCCUCCUGGAUUCAAGCGAUUCUCCUGCCUCAUUCUCCUGAGCAGCUGGGAUUACAGGUGUCCACCAUCACGCCUGGCUAAUUUUUGUAGUUUUAGUAGAGACGAGGUUUUGCCAUGUUGGUCAGGCUGGUCUCGAACUCCCGACCUCAAGUGAUCCACCCACCUCAGUCUCCCAAAGACCUAUUAUUCUUACAAUACCACAGGCAUCAAAGAAUAAAAAACAACGUGUGUGUGUGUGUGUGUGUGUGUGUGUGUGUGUGUAUGGGUGCAAAUAACAAUUCUUUCUUUGUACUACACAAACUUAUUUUUUUGUUGUUGAGAUAGGGUCUCACUCUGUUGCUCAGGCUUGAGUGCGGUGGCAUGAUCAUUGCUCACUGCAGACUCAAACUCCUGGGCUCAAGCGAUUCUCCCAACUCAGCCUCCCACAUGGCUGGGAUUAUAGGCAUGCAUCACCAUACCUGGCUAAUUUAAAAAAAAAAAAAAAUCUUUUUUGAGACAGAAUUUCACUCCUGUUGCCCAGGCUAGAGUGCAAUGGUGUGAUCUCAGCUCACUGCAACCUCCGCCUCCCAGAUUCAAAUGAUUCUCUCGUCUCAGCCUCCCGAGUCUGGGAUUACAGGCGUCCACCAUCACGUUUAGCUAAUUGUUGUAUUUUUAGUAGAGACGGGGUUUCGCCAUGUUGGCCAGGCUGGUCUUGAACUCUUGACCUCAGGUGAUCCACCCGCCUUGGCCUCCCAAAGUGCUGGGAUUGUAGGCGUGAGCUACCGCAUCCAGCCCCAGGCUAGUCUUUAACUUCUGGGUUCAAUCGAUCCUCCUGCCUUGGCUUCCCAAAGUGGUGGGAUUACAGGUAUAAGCCACUAGGCCCAGCCUAUGUAAACUUCUAUUUCAGUUAGAAUAGACCAAUUCACACACUGGGAUGACACAGUAAGAGCUUUUCUAAUUUUGGGGGUGUUACAAACGCAAAUUAUUGUCUAGCUCUCAGAGACUUUGACUCAGGUUUUGUGCAGAAUUCAUGAUACUGCACCCUAGGGGACUGUGAUGCAAAUACCCUAAAACACCAGAUCAGAGAGAUUGGGCAUACUAUAAGAAAAAAAAAUCUACAUUUUAAUAAGCAAUUAUCAAUAGACACUUAAAAAAUUCCCAUGAAUCUUACAUCAUAUUAAACACUUUCUUUACAUGCCUGACCUCAGUUAAUUUUCAGACAACUUUACAGGGUAGGCAUUAAUGUCACCAUCCUUCAGAUGGGGAAACCGAAGCUUUAAGAAGUUAAGGCUGCCCAACUCACAUAGCUACUGUUAUUAAGUGACAGACGGAGCUGAAACUCAAAUUCACAUGGGUUUAACUCACCCACAGGCACACCCCUUAGCAAAACGUGGCUUUUGGUAGGGAUACAUGCAGUUAUAAUUUGCCUCCUCUGCUACAUUCCCUAGACCCUGAAACUGGACUUUUACCGUAUCAUUAUCUGGGAAUUUUACAAAUUCGUUUUAAAUUUUAUUUUUUUGGUAGAGACAGGCCAUAGCGCCUGGCCCACAAUUCUCAUUAGAAUUUAUAUUCUGUGUUUGGUGACAUUUCUCUUGGCUUUGUGCUUCACUCUUUCCUCUUCCAAUCUGUUCUAUUCUAUGCAAAAUUCAUAGAGUAAUAACCCCAAAGUUCAGCAUUCAACCAUUUCAUUAAUAUUAUCCUCCUAUAGUUGAGUAUGGUGGCUCACAACUGUAAUCCCAACACUUUGCAAGGCUAAGGUGGGAGAAUUGCUUGAAGCCAGGAGUUUGAGACCAGCCUGGGCAACAAAGUGAGAUCCAUUCUUUACAAAAAAAUUUUUAAAAGGUGGCUAUGGUAGCAUGCAUCUGUAGUCUUAGCUAAUUGGAAGGCUGAGGUGGGAGGACGGCUCAAGCCCAGGAGUUCAAGGUUGCAAUAAGCUAUGGCUGUGCCACUGCACUCCAGCCUGGGCAACAGAGCAAGACCUCAACUUAAAAAAAAAAAAAUCAGGCUGGGCCCAGUGGCUCACACCUGUAAUCCCAGCACUUUGGGAGGCCAGGGCAGGCAGAUUGCUUGAGCUCAGAGGUUUGAGGCCAGCCUGGGCAGUAUGACAAACUCCAUCUCUACAAAAAAUACAAAAAUUGGCUGGGGGUGGUGGUGCACACCUGUGGUCCCAGCUACUCAGGAGGCUGCAGUGGGAGGAUUGUUUCAGCCAGGGAAGCGAAGGUGGAGGUUGCAGUCGCUGAGACUGCAUUAUUGCCCUACAGCCUGGGUGACAGAGCAAGACCCUGUAUCCAAAAAAUCAUCCCCUCAUACCAUUUCUUCAAACUACAUUUGUCACACUUACCUCUCCUACCCCAGAUAGAGUAACCUUCUGGUCUCGUAUUAUUAUUGUAUAUUAUAAUCUCUUAAAAUAACUCACAAUACUUAACUUUAUACAUUAACAAAAUUAAAACUCAAUGUAUGUAUUUAAAAGGAGCAAAU